rnacentral:lncRNA from 1 species
UGGCCUUUGUUAGUCUUGUAUUAUUUUAAUUUUAGUUUCUUGUGUACAAUUUGGAAAUUAGUAUGGCGUUCAUUAUCACUGAACUAGUAUAUAUUUGUUUAGGGGCCAGUUGAAGGACGCCUCCGGGUGCGGAAAUUUCUCGCUACAUUGAAGACCUGUUGGUGACCUUCUGCUGUUGUUUUUUCUAUGGUCGGGUUGUUGUCUCUUUG